AUGCAAGUCGAGCGAGAAUCUGGGCUCGGUCAGAGGAAAGUGGCGGACGGGUGAGUAAUGUGUAGAGAAUCUGCCCUUUAGUGGGGGACAACAGUUGGAAACGACUGCUAAUACCCCAUAUGCGCGUAGCUGAGAUGCUAUUCGUGAAAACUCCGGUGCUAAAGGAUGAGUCUGCAUCUGAUUAGCUAGUUGGCGUGUAAUGGACCACCAAGGCGACGAUCAGUAGCCGGCCUGAGAGGGUGAACGGCCACAUUGGGACUGAGACACGGCCCAAACUCCUACGGGAGGCAGCAGUGGGGAAUAUUGGACAAUGGGGGAAACCCUGAUCCAGCGAACGCCGCGUGAGUGAAGAAGUAUUUCGGUAUGUAAAGCUCUAUCAGCAGGGAAGAUGAUGACGGUACCUGACUAAGAAGCACCGGCUAAAUACGUGCCAGCCGCCGC
rnacentral:rRNA from 1 species